AAACAUUUCAGAGGGCAUUUUCUGAGCAUACCUCUAUACCUCUCCCAGGCAUCAUAAAGGGAUUCAUUAUCCUCUUGUUUAAAGCCUUGGAUGUCUAGCCUUAGCU